GACGAACGCUGGCGGCGUGCCUAACACAUGCAAGUCGAGCGGGGAUCUAAGUGGAAGUUCUUCGGUAUGGAGAUUUAAAUUCUAGCGGCGUACGGGUGAGUAAAGCGUGAACAAUCUGUCCCGGACAGGGGGGUAACACCUGGUAACAGGUGCUAAUACCGCAUAAGACCACGGACUCGCAUGGGGCUGUGGUCUAUGGAGCUAUCCGAUUAGGGGUGAGUUCGCGUCCGAUUAGCUAGCUGGUGGGGUAGCGGCCCACCAACGCGACGAACGGUAGCCGGCCUGAGAGAGAGAAGGGCCACAUUGGUACGGAGGGACGGUCCAAGCACCUACGCGAGGCAGCAGUGAGGAAUAUUGAGCAACGGGCGGAGGCCUGACCCAGCAACCCCGCGUGAGAGAAGAAUGUUUUCGGAUUGUAGGCCUCUUUCCUAAUAGACGAAGGAAGUGACGGUACCAUAGGAGAAAGCCCCGGCUAACUACGUG
rnacentral:rRNA from 1 species